rnacentral:rRNA from 1 species
GGGGAAUAUUGCACAAUGGGGGGAACCCUGAUGCAGCGACGCCGCGUGGAGGAAGAAGGUCUUCGGAUUGUAAACUCCUGUUGUUGAGGAAGAUAAUGACGGUACUCAACAAGGAAGUGACGGCUAACUACGUGCCAGCAGCCGCGGUAAAACGUAGGUCACAAGCGUUGUCCGGAAUUACUGGGUGUAAGGGGAGCGCAGGCGGGAAGACAAGUUGGAAGUGAAAUCUAUGGGCUCAACCCAUAAACUGCUUUCAAAACUGUUUUUCUUGAGUAGUGCAGAGGUAGGCGGAAUUCCCGGUGUAGCGGUGGAAUGCGUAGAUAUCGGGAGGAACACCAGUGGCGAAGGCGGCCUACUGGGCACCAACUGACGCUGAGGCUCGAAAGUGUGGGUAGCAAACAGGAUUAGAUACCCUGGUAGUCCACACCGUAAACGAUGAUUACUAGGUGUUGGAGGAUUGACCCCUUCAGUGCCGCAGUUAACACAAUAAGUAAUCCACCUGGGGAGUACGACCGUAAGGUUGAAACUCAAAGGAAUUGACGGGGGCCCGCACAAGCAGUGGAGUAUGUGGUUUAAUUCGACGCAACGCGAAGAACCUUACCAAGUCUUGACAUCCCUUGACGAACAUAGAAAUAUGUUUUCUCUUCGGAGCAAGGAGACAGGUGGUGCAUGGUUGUCGUCAGCUCGUGUCGUGAGAUGUUGGGUUAAGUCCCGCAACGAGCGCAACCCUUACUGUCAGUUACUACGCAAGAGGACUCUGGCAGGACUGCCGUUGACAAAACGGAGGAAGGUGGGGAUGACGUCAAAUCAUCAUGCCCCUUAUGACUUGGGCUACACACGUGCUACAAUGGCGUAAACAAAGGGAAGCGAGCCUGCGAGGGGGAGCAAAUCUCAAAAAUAACGUCUCAGUUCGGACUGCAGUCUGCAACUCGACUGCACGAAGCUGGAAUCGCUAGUAAUCGCGAAUCAGAAUGUCGCGGUGAAUACGUUCCCG